rnacentral:rRNA from 1 species
AGAGUUUGAUCAUGGCUCAGAUUGAACGCUGGCGGCAGGCUUAACACAUGCAAGUCGAGCGGGGAAAGGUAGCUUGCUACCUGACCCAGCGGCGGGCGGGUGAGUAAUGCUUAGGAAUCUGCCUAUUAGUGGGGGACAACAUUCCGAAAGGAAUGCUAAUACCGCAUACGCCCUACGGGGGAAAGCAGGGGAUCUUCGGACCUUGCGCUAAUAGAUGAGCCUAAGUCAGAUUAGCUAGUUGGUGGGGUAAAGGCCUACCAAGGCGACGAUCUGUAGCGGGUCUGAGAGGAUGAUCCGCCACACUGGGACUGAGACACGGCCCAGACUCCUACGGGAGGCAGCAGUGGGGAAUAUUGGACAAUGGGCGAAAGCCUGAUCCAGCCAUGCCGCGUGUGUGAAGAAGGCCUUUUGGUUGUAAAGCACUUUAAGCGAGGAGGAGGCUACUUGGAUUAAUACUCUAGGAUAGUGGACGUUACUCGCAGAAUAAGCACCGGCUAACUCUGUGCCAGCAGCCGCGGUAAUACAGAGGGUGCGAGCGUUAAUCGGAUUUACUGGGCGUAAAGCGUGCGUAGGCGGCUUUUUAAGUCGGAUGUGAAAUCCCUGAGCUUAACUUAGGAAUUGCAUUCGAUACUGGGAAGCUAGAGUAUGGGAGAGGAUGGUAGAAUUCCAGGUGUAGCGGUGAAAUGCGUAGAGAUCUGGAGGAAUACCGAUGGCGAAGGCAGCCAUCUGGCCUAAUACUGACGCUGAGGUACGAAAGCAUGGGGAGCAAACAGGAUUAGAUACCCUGUAGUCCAUGCCGUAAACGAUGUCUACUAGCCGUUGGGGCCUUUGAGGCUUUAGUGGCGCAGCUAACGCGAUAAGUAGACCGCCUGGGAGUACGGUCGCAAGACUAAAACUCAAAUGAAUUGACGG